CUGCUUACCUUCUUUAACUCGAUUUUCUUUCUCCGAGGACGGUCGGUGUUAUUCCACUGCUUCUCAUGGCGAAUCCAAUUUAUGGCUCCGGCCCUCUUCGAUCCAGGGAAGGCCUCAUCUCGAGGCCUGCGGCCAGCUCUGACGAGAUCCAGUUGCGGAUUGAUCCGAUGCACACGGACUUGGAAGAGGAGAUCUCCGGCAUCCAUAACAAAAAAAAAUUUCGGGCUCUUGAGAUGAAAGGCGUGAGUCUUUUCUUUCUCUUCUUGAUACUUUUGUAUCCCUGAUGUAAAACAAAGAAGCGGAAAUUGAGAACCUAAACAUCCGUGGAAUCGAACAACUAGACCUAGGGUUGCCAAUCUGGAUUGAGGAUGUUGUCUAUGUUCGAGUAUCUUAGGGUUAACGGUGGCCAGAAGUUUCAUAUGUGAUCAGGUAGGUCAGGAAAUAGAAACAGAAGCAAAGUUUCAGAAUGGCAUCAUAUCUCAAUUGUACUACAGGGAAGAGGCCGGUUAACCUCUCUCGGUGCAUCGUCACUUGUCAAAAGAUGUAAAAUGGUCGAGACUUCAGACCUCUUCAACGAGGGAUUGGAGAAAGCCAGCAAAUUAAUUAAUGUAGAAGUUGCAUGAAUGGAAGUUGGGUACUGGACAUAUAAAUAUAUAUAGCAAACCUAAUACCAUUGCCAUGUUGUUGGGAGAAAUCAGGUAACUAGCACUAGGAAAUUUGUUGCUCUCUUGUCCGAUGCUCUUUGUUGAUUUUUGUUUUUUUCAGUAGGAUGCCUAUGAUGAUUCGGAUUCGGUACAAUUCACCUUGUUUGGGCUUCCAUUCUGAACAUAACCUUGAUUUGGUCAUAGAAUGAAACCUAAAAAUGGUUCUCUGUUUCAA